AAGUGCUGCGUGGUAACUUAUAACUGUUGACAGUCACUUUUAUCAGUAUCUGAAGAGACAGUAAGCACACCUGUUUAGGAGACUGUCUUUACUGGAAAAUACACAGUGAAGGGAGGGAAAUAUUCAGCCUGGACAUACCUUGGUCAGAAGGGAGUGAGACCCAUUAUAGGUCUCUACCGGAAAGAGGCAAGAGCUGGAAGCCUGAGAUUGGGUGGCCUUUUUAGAUCACUUAGAGGAAAUACAGGUACAGUUGUCCCGAACUGUGAUAGUUGCUGUAAUGUUAAAAUGCUCAUACGGUUGUCCAUAGUCUUCCAGGAAAAAAACAGGGUGGACAAGCUCUGAAUUUUUAAUAUAGUGGGAAAACACUUUUUAAGAAAAAACUUUCCUGACCACCUUUUGCAGGCAACCUCUGUUUCCUCCUGGCAGUCUUAGGUUUACAGCCUAUUACUGUGUUCAUCUUCUAAUCUAUGUGUAUGUGUUAAAACGUGCCUUUAUGCCCUCACCACAGCUAUUUCACUUCCUUUUCCUGUAACCCCCAGUCCCAGCUUUCCAAAGUCCAGUAUGUGCAAUAUUCAACUACAUCAACUUGAUUUUUCCACUUGUAUCAAGAUCAAGCUUAAAAACUCCUCUAGUUCUCAACAACUCCCAUAGAGUCUUCCCAUCUUGCUUGUGCUCAUCUGCCCUCUGGACCAGCCUUUAUGUAGGAAGUUUUAACAGGUUUACAAAUCGUUACCACCUAAGUGUCAGAAGAAAACAGUAAAGCUAAUGUGUUUACUGGCUUGUGUGGCACAAGAUUUACUUGCAUGUCUCACUGGUGUCUUGUUUUAUAUGCUUUAACUUUUUAGUCAAUUUUUAAAAGCGGAUAGAUUAGAUUGAAUGUAAUAAUUGUUACACGUAGGCAUACAAAGUUGAGACUGUAGUGCUGUAUAAGCUUGUUAGCUAUUCAGUAGGAAUAUUCACAGACAGGAAAAACAAGAAACUAAGUUGUUAGCUGUUGGAAACAGCUUAAUCGCUUAAAAUUCCGAAACUUAUUUUAUAUUGGGCAGUUGAAGUAGCUUCUAAAACUAGCUGUGACCGGGGUUGCCAGCGCAUUGUGCGUAGGGGCCCCACCUACUCUUUCCCGGCGUUUCUGAAUGUUUGUGUUUUGCUGACUGCCCAGCGAGUUCGGUUGAUCACAUGAGGUUAAUAUGCCUGGGUGGCUCCCUGGGCCGGGGGAGGGAAGGCAGCACGCAGGAGCUGCCGUCUGCUUUCUCCGCCGCCUCCUUUUUCAGUGCGCCCAGGCUGGUGCUAGGAGGAGCUCGAACAGAGCAGGGAGACAACCGACCUUUUGGCAGCAAAUGGCUUUUCCACAGGAGACAACGCGCGGGACUCAGGAGUUCUCCUUUCUGCCUGUUACUCUGGCUUUGCAGCUCCCUCUCUUCGGCCCGGCUGGGGCUGCGCAGAGCUGGUGGCAGCGUGUCCGUAGCCAGAUCCUUGUCAUGGGCGCCCCGUAGCUCAGCAGCCGAGGGAAGGGAAGGAAAGGAAAGGAAAGGCGUCUGCAGCAGCAGCAGAGCUUCCUUUGCUGGGCAGCAGCCGGAAGAGUUUGGGAAACCAUUUUAGGGAGACUUUCUGAAGAUUCUUGUAUGUGUGACCAGUCCUAAACUGGAACAGAUCGGACAAAGCUGGUUCCUUCUCCCUCAUAUCCCGCUGUGGAUUAUUAAAGAAACUUCACUUGUGGGGGAGUUUGGCUAGGUUUCUGCCUACGGCGCUGGAGGUUUUAGUGCCCCGUUUGGGUGAUUCCCUCGCAUGAAAGGAGCGCCUCUCUGGUAUCGUUCCAGGUCUCUGUCCUCAAGCCUCAUGUUACCAGGAGGGGCCUCUGUUAUGAGUUGUUUUUGUUUCUAUGGGGAAACGUAAUGAGCUGUUCCACUCCUCAUGACGGGGAAAUCUGCCUUCAGCUUUCUGUAUUCGUGGAAGGGGGGAGUCCUGUUUACAUCAUGUUUGCCAGGAAGUAAAACCAGCAAGAGAAAAGAAAUGAGCCGUCAGACUGCUACAGCACUACCUACAGGUACUUCAAAGUGUACACCAUCACAGAGGGUGCCUGCUCUGACUGGCACUACAGCUUCCAACAAUGACUUGGCAAGUCUUUUUGAGUGUCCUGUGUGUUUUGACUAUGUGCUGCCACCUAUUCUUCAGUGUCAGAGUGGCCAUCUUGUUUGUAGCAACUGUCGCCCCAAGCUUACAUGCUGUCCAACUUGCCGAGGCCCACUGGGUUCCAUUCGUAACUUGGCUAUGGAAAAAGUUGCCAAUUCUGUACUGUUCCCAUGUAAAUACGCCUCUUCUGGAUGUGAGAUAACUUUGCCACACACAGAAAAAGCAGACCAUGAAGAGCUGUGUGAGUUUAGGCCUUAUUCAUGUCCAUGUCCUGGUGCUUCAUGUAAAUGGCAAGGUUCGCUGGAUGCUGUAAUGCCACAUUUGAUGCAUCAGCAUAAGUCAAUAACAACACUACAGGGAGAAGAUAUAGUUUUCCUUGCUACAGACAUUAAUCUUCCUGGUGCUGUUGACUGGGUUAUGAUGCAAUCUUGUUUUGGCUUUCAUUUCAUGUUAGUGUUGGAGAAACAGGAAAAAUAUGAUGGUCACCAGCAGUUCUUUGCUAUUGUACAGCUGAUAGGAACACGCAAGCAAGCCGAAAAUUUUGCUUAUCGACUUGAGCUUAAUGGUCAUAGGCGGCGAUUGACUUGGGAAGCAACUCCUCGAUCUAUUCAUGAGGGAAUUGCAACAGCCAUUAUGAAUAGUGACUGUCUAGUCUUUGACACCAGCAUUGCACAGCUCUUUGCAGAAAAUGGCAAUUUAGGCAUCAAUGUAACUAUUUCAAUGUGUUGAAAUGGCAAGCAAACAUUUUCAGGCCAGUGUUUAAAACAGUUGCAUUUAAUUUCGCAGAAACUAGGGUAACCAUCUUUGACUGCCAAACACAAACUAUUUGGUAGAGGGAGGCUAGACGUAUAUGAAGGUAAAUAAAAGGAAAGGCUGUUAAAUUGCAGGAAGCAGUUGCAUGUAGUAACACUAAUAUAUUUAAAAUAAGUCAACAGUAAACCACUGAAAAUAUAUAUACACCCAAAAUGGGCAUCUUUUGUAUUAAGAAUUGAUUCUACAGGAAAUGUUGUAAAAUAGUUCUAAAAACUUGUUUGUAGAUUGAUUGUACUGUUGAAAAGGAUACUGUUGUGUUUGUUUAUUUUUUCCUUUGACUGACAAGCCAUGUUGAGCAGUCUGGUCUCUUGCCGCUGCUUUUUCCCCUUAAGUCACUACAUAGUAUUGCUGCUGUUUGUGUAUAUUUUUUGUGUAUUUGCUAAUUUUUAUUAACUUCUAGUUUUUCAUUAAAUAAAUGACUUUCUUUUCUGUAAUUCAGGUUUUCCUCCUUUUUGUACCUUUUAAAAAUUAAUUGCAGGUGUCAUCUUUUGAUAUGCAUAAUUGCUUAUGGUAAAACUUAUACUUCUGUACAUUUGGUAAAUUAGUCUUUCCCAGUAGUCCAUUCAUUGGUGAUACUGUUUUUAAUUCAGCUAUUUUGUGAAUGUAUUCAACUCUAAAGAAGCAAUUACAUUGGAAGAAUUAUCAGAAAAACGGCUCCUUUAAAACAGGCCUAGAUGAUGAUGUACUUUGUUAUACCUUCAAACAAAAGUGAGGAGUUAUUGGUUAACAUCCUAAUUAAAAAAACUGAAAAUGCAGGCACACUUUAAAAAUUUAGAAACUUCAGACACAAACUCAUGCUUGUAUUUUGGUUUUGCAGUACAAGGCAUUGUCUUAUGCAGUAUUUGUAACUAUAAAAACAGACCAUUUAAAAAAAAAAGGCAGUCUCAGAAAACGAUGUUUUUGGUCUUUUAUAAUUUUGUCAUUAAAAGAAUACCUGGCAAAUGAAAAACUCUUGUUUUUUGCUUUAGCACAAUAUUUGACUAAUUUAAUAUUUUAACUCAACUUUGCUUGUUCUGGUAUCCUUUGUCUGAUUGUUACUAGAGAGAACCAACUUUAUUUUCCUUAGUCAUACUAAUCUUGUAUGUCAUCCUACCAUGUUAGUGAUACGAUGAACAGUAUACAUCUAAAGGUCCAUGCAAUUCUCUUGCAUUUAAAGGCAUAAGUGGUAUAUUGGGGUCUUUUGCGGGUUGCUCGCAAGUUUGAGAAAUUCACCUUGAAUGUAUGUCCGUAUACAGCACUGAGAUGGUUAAUGUAAAAAAGAAAUAAUGUAAAAGAGAACUAUUACAUUUCAAACUACUUUAAAAGUAUCUCUUUGCCAAACUUGCUGUUGGGAGGAGUAGAAUGAAUAUUAGCUACUUUUUGUAUAACAUUAAAAUAUAAUUUAUUUACUAUAUAUUGUCUAACUUUCUUGUCAGAAACUGAUCUAUGUUAAGACAACUCAUUGAAUUAUUUUUGGUGCAGUGAUUACACAUUUUAGCCAGAUGGGCACUUCAUAUACCUCAACUCUCACUGGAAGAAUCUUCUAGCAAUUUUUGGCACUUUCCUGCUUUGCAGAGCAUUCCAGUGCACUUCUGAGGGCUCCCACAUACCCAGGAAAUAACUGGAAUAUGGACAUUCCUGUUCUGGAAGUUUACAGGUAAGGAGAAACUGUCAUAUUUGUCUUGAUGCAAUAAACAUCUUUAGCCUUGUUUUUUAAGGCUAUAUUCCAAAGCUUGUAUUGGGGGCCCUUGCUUGAUAUGAUCAGGGAAGAUGAAGCCUUCCGCAGAAAGGGAUUUUAUACACCUCUACCCCCAUAUAACACGAAUUCGGAUAUAACACAGUAAAGCAGUGCUCUGGGGCAGUGGGGCUGCACACGCUGGCGAAUCAAAGCAAGUUCGAUAUAACAUGGUUUCACCUAUAACGGUAAGAUUUUUUGGCUCCUGAGGACAGCGUUAUAUUGGGGUAGAGAUGUACCUUCUUUUAAUAUAAUUAAUGGAUCAGUUGUAAGAAUGCCACUGAACAACUGUAGGAUUAGUCCUAUGACCCACAGAAGGCUUAAUAGGUCUUCUUAUACACUGCAUAUACAGAAACCAGUUGAAGCAAAAUAUUUUAUAGUGUAUGCUUCAUUGUGAUUUCCCAUUAUGGUAUAGUUACCACCAUCCCUUCACAGAUUUUUCUAUAGCAGACCCCCAUUUGUCUUGAAGCCCACACCUUAUUACAGUUUUAUGAGCAGUGGUUGUAUAUUUCAAAACUAGUCAUUCAUUAGUAGAAUGAGCUUGCAAGAAGUGGUCAAACCUUUAAUCUAAUACCAAACUGAAAAAUUUAAGUUACAAAAAUCAGCAUUACUACAAGAUUUUAAUCUUUCUUCGUGAACUAACAUAAGGAAAAUAACAUUCAGAGACAGAAUAUAAUCAUCUUCUCCAUAAUUUAAAACAUCUGUAUAGACUGAAGUUGGUAGCUUAAAUUUAUAGCCAUCAUAUAAGAGGGUGGAAAAAUACAUGAGGUUAAGAGACUAAUAUGAUUCUUUACGAAGGGUAGAGUGGCAAAGGAAACUAGAAUUUGACAAUUAAGGGUAUGCUUUUUCUAUACUCUUGUUCGGAAAUGUUUAUACUACCACUACUAUUUGAAUUUUGGAGCUUUAAAACACCAAAUCAAAAUGUUCCCUUUUUUCAUUUGAGCAUCCAGCUUUUCCACAAGUGAGACUUAAGGAGUCUUUCUUUGUAUAAGCCUGACCUUUGCCUCUCCCUUCUACAUUUCCCCCCAUGCAAAAAAACCUACCUUUUUAAAAACUCAUCUGAUUUGUCAAAUUUCUCAUGACUGCUGCUCUGCCAGAAGAGCAUGGUUUUAGAGAUUCCAGGAGAGAAUGAAGUCAAAUACUAAACCGUUAGGAGGAAAAAAAUUAAGAAUCAUCUUUGCAUAUUUUAAGAAUCCUCUUCCAAAACUUCACAUUAAUUAAGAGGCCAUAAUUUCCAGUGGGGACUCACCCUACUCUCCAUUAGCAGGUACACAAUUUUGAAGGUGUGAAUAGGUAUU